rnacentral:lncRNA from 7 species
AUAAAACAUACCAAUUUAUUUGCUAAUAUAACAAAAACAAUAAUUCAUAUCUAAAAGCAGACACUUAUUUAAUACAUACCAUUUAAAGGAGUGAAUUCUACAAAACAGAGCAAAACAUAGAUGAACUGACUUGCAUUUAUAUACUGAUACAGACUUAAAUGUAGUUGGAAGUGUAAAAAAAUACAUAGCCAUUUAAUCCUAUCAGUUUUGUACUAUCAGAAACCAGGUAAAAUUUAUAUUCCUUUGUAAUUGCUUCUAAUACUGAACCAAGCUUCUAAAAAUCAAACAGAAAAUGAAGAAAAAAUAUCCAACAGAAUCCUUAAUUUAUAUAUCUAUCAAAGACAUUAUGCUAAUUUUCCAAAGACGACAGAAGAUUGUUUGAAACCAAAAACAUCAGUUCAAAUAAAUGGCUGUACUGAUACACAAAACUUAAGGCAAAACUGUGCAUUCAUGACUAAGGAAGGAUGGUUAAGGAGCAAUGAUUCUCACAUAAGAUUUAGAAAGCCCUAGGUGAACUUUCUCUUCUGAAAGACUGCAUUAGUAGGACAACUACAUAAAUUUCAAGCUUGAUUUAAAAACAAAAAAAAACAAGUACCAGGAGUUUAACUUCAGCAGCAUUUACAUAUUCAUUGCACAAAACACAGUAUUAAAGUUGUCAUGCAAGUGAAUGAUGAAUACAGAAGUGCUAAACCUCUAAUUCUUAAUUCAGAAUGCACUGAGGAUUCAAGAGCCAGUUUUUCUAUCAUUUAGGUCUCACUUGUACAGAAACUACAGUUACAACCUGUUUUAAUGCAACAACACCGUGAAGUAGCAAAUCCAAAUAAAUUCCAUUAUGCCUGAAGGAAACCUACAUUCCCAGGGUAUUUUAACUGUUCCAAUAUUGGGAUACUUCCAGCCUUUCCCAUUGAAGGUUUAUGACUCUGUACAAAACAAUUCAAAUUUUAAUUAAAAAUAGAUAUAGAUCAAUACCUAGUAUAGACAGAAAUGGGAUUGUUUCUGUGUUGCCUGCUUACUCAUUCUGCAAGAGGCAAUCAUUGAAAUACAUUAGUAGGUUUGAAAACAGUGUCUAGAAAUCUCUUCAGAAAAUAACAUAACUGUGAACCAUUUAUUUCAGGUUCAAGAUAAGUAUCAGAAUGAAGCUAGCCUACUCCAUAGGUAAAAUGAAAUUUCCUAGAAAGAAGUCUACUUAGAUGCUUCUCUGAAUAGACUACUUGGUCAAUAUGAUUAAUGAUAUGAAUGGGAAAAGUAAGAGGAAGAGUCAUUUGUCUAGGGUAGCAAACAGUGGCCACUGGAAUAAAAAACACAGUAAAUUCUUUAAAAUAAAGAAUAACAUACUUUAAAAUAUCCAAUUAUAAUGAACUGAAUUUAUUAUUUUGACUGCCUUAGUAGAUUUCAACAAUUCAAAACAAAAAGCUUGUUUUCUUAUGGAUAAGUAUACUUAAUAUAUUGUUACAAAUGUAAAUAUACAAAACAUUUAUACACAGUUCUUCAACUCUCAUCCAACUGCGUGAGAAACAUAAGUUGAAAUUUACUGCAGAAAGAUAUACCACUACUGAAAUCUGAAUCUAAUUAGAAUAACAGGCAUCCUUAGAGAACCCCUCAACCAAGAAACUUCUUCCUAUGUCUUCAACAAUACCCAAAGUAGAAAAAAAUAUUUCUACAGCUACAAACUCCUACAAAGUUUUGUGAAAGAAAUCUAAUUUUCUCUAGAUAACUGCUUUGCACAUACUCAUCAAUAAUUUUAUAAGAUAAACAGCAUAUCCAUCUUUGGGGUCAUCCUCACAUAAAGCUCUGAAUGAGGAAACUUUAUUUGAACUCCUUCAACGCUUAUAGCAUCACCCCAUCCCUUCCAGUGUUCUUGCUUGUCCUUUAUCCAGAAGCAAUCCAGGUUUCCUUUUAAUGUAUUUAAACUUU